UGAAUAGCAAUAUUUGACCUAGAGUGACGUACGGGUGCGUAACACGUAUGCAACCUACCCUUUACAGGAGGAUAGCUCGGGGAAACUCGAAUUAACCCUCCAUAACAUAGUGCUGUGGCAUCACAGUAUUAUUAAAACUCUGGUGGUAAAGGAUGGGCAUGCGUCUGAUUAGUUAGUUGGCGGGGUAAUGGCCCACCAAGACGAUGAUCAGUAGGGGAACUGAGAGGUUGAUCCCCCACACUGGCACUGAGAUACGGGCCAGACUCCUACGGGAGGCAGCAGUAGGGAAUAUUGGUCAAUGGAUGCAAGUCUGAACCAGCCAUGCCGCGUGCAGGAAGAAGGCCUUCUGGGUUGUAAACUGCUUUUGCCAGGGGAUAAAAAUUCCAUGCGUGGAAGAUUGAAGGUACCUGGUGAAUAAGCCACGGCUAACUACGUGCCAGCAGCCGCGGUAAUACGUAGGUGGCAAGCGUUGUCCGGAUUUAUUGGGUUUAAAGGGUGCGUAGGCGGUUUUGUAAGUCAGUGGUGAAAUAUAGCAGCUUAACUGUUAGGGUGCCAUUGAUACUGCAGAACUUGAGUACAGAUGAGGUAGGCGGAAUUGACGGUGUAGCGGUGAAAUGCUUAGAUAUCGUCAAGAACACCUAUAGCGAAGGCAGCUUACUAGGCUGUAACUGACGCUGAGGCACGAAAGUGUGGGGAUCAACCAGGAUUAGAUACCCUGGUAGUCCACACUGUAAACGUUGAUUACUCGCUGUGUGCGAUAUACAGUACGCGGCCAAGCGAAAGCGAUAAGUAAUCCACCUGGGGAGUACGCCGGCAACGGUGAAACUCAAAGGAAUUGACGGGGGUCCGCACAAGCGGUGGAGCAUGUGG
rnacentral:rRNA from 1 species